UGAACUCCACCCCUGUGACGUACCUUCUUUGUUGCUUCGGCGGACGAGGCCCCUCGCGGGGCGGAGGCCGCCGGAGGUUCCAAACUCUUGAUUUUUUAGUGUAUCUCUGAGCCUAAAAACAAAUAAUCAAAACUUUCAACAACGGAUCUCUUGGUUCUGGCAUCGAUGAAGAACGCAGCGAAAUGCGAUAAGUAAUGUGAAUUGCAGAAUUCAGUGAAUCAUCGAAUCUUUGAACGCACAUUGCGCCCGCCGGUAUUCCGGCGGGCAUGCCUGUUCGAGCGUCAUUUCACCACUCAAGCCCAGCUUGGUGUUGGGGCACCCGGCCGCCCGGCGGUCCGGGGCCCCCAAGUACAUCGGCGGUCUCGCCUGGACCCUGAACGCAGUAACUCGCGGUAAAACGCGCUUCGUUUGGAGGCUCCUGGCGGGCACCUGCCGCUAAACCCCCUUCUUUUAAAGGUUGACCUCGGAUCAGGUAGGAAUACCCGCUGAACUUAAGCAUAUCAAUAAGCCAGAGGAA
rnacentral:rRNA from 1 species